UACGUCGGGUGCGAGCGUUAAUCGGAAUUACUGGGCGUAAAGCGUGCGCAGGCGGUUCGUUAAGUCAGAUGUGAAAGCCCCGGGCUCAACCUGGGAACUGCAUUUGAAACUGGCGGGCUUGAGUAUGGCAGAGGGGGGUGGAAUUCCGCGUGUAGCAGUGAAAUGCGUAGAGAUGCGGAGGAACACCGAUGGCGAAGGCAGCCCCCUGGGCCAAUACUGACGCUCAGGCACGAAAGCGUGGGGAGCAAACAGG
rnacentral:rRNA from 1 species